rnacentral:lncRNA from 1 species
UGUCAGACCCCUUCAUCUUUCCUGCUGCUGCUCCUACAACAGAAGAGGCCGAAAAUGAAGCUGGUCAUUAUUGCCUCAUUAAUUGGCACCUUGUUAAACACAGCUCUUGCCCUUCAGUGCUUUUUUUGCGAGGAUCCAAGGGACCCAGGCUGCACCAGCCAGAAACUGGUCACCUGCGAUGCUGGGCAGGUGUGCACCACUAAUACUAGCACUCCACAGGGCUCAGCAAGCAAUAUCAAACGUUUUUCUAUUUCCAUUACCAUCACGAUUAAUUUUAGGAGCAACAACGUGAACGCUGGAGGUCACAACUUCAUUGUCAACAAGGGCUGCCUAAAUGAGAGUCUUUGCGGCCUAGAUGACUACCAGUCGCCCUCCCAAAUGUCUUUAAACCUGGGCUACCGUAACUUCACGUCUACAUCUUCAUGCUGCAACUCAACUGGCUGCAACGAGACCCCUUUGCCCUCUCCCGUCGUGAAAUUGACCAAUGGACUGCAGUGUGAGUCCUGUACGGAUGAACAUGAUCAGGUCUGCAGCACUGUCCUGCCCUGUGUGGGAACUGAGGACCACUGUGUGGACGAUUCAGUGGUGGCGCUGUCCGGACAGAACGUAACGCUGCGGGGCUGUGCGUCCGGAAAAGUGUGUGAGGUGAAUCAUCUGCGGUGCUGCGAAGGGAGGCUGUGUAACAGUAACAGGGUGUCCCCUGUAAACGCCGCAGGCCAGUUUGCUGUGGUGGGACGCCUCCCCCUGCUGUGGUGUCUGAUGCUCAUCGUCUCCCAAUCAAUGCAAAUCAAUGCGUGAACCACCAUGCACGCUCAAGCCGAUAUCAGUGAUUCUGUGUGAUGAUUAAGAAUGCUUACUGGAUGCUUUGAUGUCUAUAAUGUGUAAUGCCUAUAAUCUCUGUAAUAAAUCAGAAAAAAUAAAUUGUGUCA